rnacentral:rRNA from 1 species
GACGAAGGUGGCUAGCGUUGUUCGGUAUCACUGGGCUUAAAGCGUGUGUAGGCGGAAGCGUAAGCGUUUUGUGAAAUCCCUCGGCUUAACCGAGGAAUCGCUUGACGAACUGCGUUUCUUGAGGCAGGUAAGGGUGCGCAGAACUCUUGGUGGAGCGGUGGAAUGCGUAGAUAUCAAGAGGAAUGCCGGUGGAGAAGUCGGUGCACUGGGCCUGUCCUGACGCUGAGACACGAAAGCGUGGGGAGCGAACGGGAUUAGAUACCCGGGUAGUCCCU